rnacentral:rRNA from 1 species
CCUACGGGAGGCAGCAGUAGGGAAUAUUGCACAAUGGGCGAAAGCCUGAUGCAGCAACGCCGCGUGCGCGAUGAAGGCCUUCGGGUUGUAAAGCGCUUUUCUGGAGGAAGAGGAAGGACGGUACUCCAGGAAUAAGGAUCGGCUAACUACGUGCCAGCAGCCGCGGUAACACGUAGGAUCCGAGCGUUAUCCGAAUUUACUGGGCGUAAAGCGCGUGUAGGCGGUCAGGUAAGUUGGACGUGAAAUCUCCUGGCUCAACUAGGAGAGGUCGUUCAAAACUGCCGGACUAGAGGGCGACAGAGGGAGGUGGAAUUCCCGGUGUAGUGGUGAAAUGCGUAGAUAUCGGGAGGAACACCAGUGGCGAAGGCGGCCUCCUGGGUCGCACCUGACGCUCAGACGCGAAAGCUAGGGGAGCAAACGGGAUUAGAUACCCUAGUAGUCC